CCUACGGGAGGCAGCAGUGGGGGAUAUUGCACAAUGGGGGAAACCCUGAUGCAGCGACGCCGCGUGGGUGAAGAAGCGCCUCGGCGCGUAAAGCCCUGUCAGCAGGGAAGACAAUGACGGUACCUGAAGAAGAAGCACCGGAUAACUAAGUGCCAGCAGCCGCGGUAAUACGGAGGGGGCAAGCGUUAUCCGGAUUUACUGGGUGUAAAGGGGGCGCAGACGGCGAUGCAAGCCAGGAGUGAAAGCGCGGGGCCCAACCCCGGGACUGCUUUUGGAGAUGCGUGGCGAGAGUGCAGGAGGGGCAGGCGGAAUUCCUGGUGUAGCGGUGAAAUGCGUAGAUAUCAGGAGGAACACCGGUGGCGAAGGCGGCCUGCUGGACUGCAACUGACGUUGAGGCCCGAAAGCGUGGGGAGCAAACAGGAUUAGAUACCCUAGUAGUC
rnacentral:rRNA from 1 species